rnacentral:rRNA from 1 species
UACGUAGGGGGCAAGCGUUGUCCGGAAUUAUUGGGCGUAAAGCGCGCGCAGGCGGUCCUUUAAGUCUGAUGUGAAAGCCCACGGCUCAACCGUGGAAGGUCAUUGGAAACUGGGGGACUUGAGUGCAGAAGAGGAAAGUGGAAUUCCAAGUGUAGCGGUGAAAUGCGUAGAGAUUUGGAGGAACACCAGUGGCGAAGGCGACUUUCUGGUCUGUAACUGACGCUGAGGCGUGAAAGCGUGGGGAGCAAACAGG